AUUGAACGCUGGCGGCAGGCCUAACACAUGCAAGUCGAACGAGUGGCGGACGGGUGAGUAAUGUAUGGGAAAAGGCCUGAUGGAGGGGGAUAACUACUGGAAACGGUAGCUAAUACCGCAUAAAAUCGGAUGUGACCAGAUGGGAUUAGCUAGUAGGUGGGGUAAAGGAUCAACUAGGCGACGAUCCCUAGAUGGUCUGAGAGGAUGAACAGCUACACUGUACAUGAGACACGGUCCAGACUCCUCCGGGAGGCAGCAGUGGGGAAUAUUGCACGAUGGGCGCAAGCCUGAUGCAGCCAUGCCGCGUGUAUGAAGAAGGCCUUCGGGUUGUAAAGUACUUUCAGCGGUGAGGCGUUACCCGCAGAAUAAGCACCGGCUAACUCCGUGCCAGCCGCCGCGGUAAUAC
rnacentral:rRNA from 1 species